GAGUUUGAUCCUGGCUCAGGAUGAACGCUAGCGGCAGGCUUAAUACAUGCAAGUCGUGGGGCAGCAUGGUGUAGCAAUACACUGAUGGCGACCGGCAAACGGGUGCGGAACACGUACGCAACCUUCCUUUAACUGGAGAAUAGCCCGGGGAAACCCGGAUUAAUACUCCGUAACAUUAUGAAGUGGCAUCACUUUAUAAUUAUAGCUCCGGCGGUUAUAGAUGAGCAUGCGUAACAUUAGCUAGUUGGUGAGGUAACGGCUCACCAAGGCAACGAUGUUUAGGGGGUCUGAGAGGAUGAUCCCCCACACUGGUACUGAGACACGGACCAGACUCCUACGGGAGGCAGCAGUAAGGAAUAUUGGACAAUGGGGGCAACCCUGAUCCAGCCAUGCCGCGUGAAGGAUGAAGGCGCUCUGCGUUGUAAACUUCUUUUAUACGGGAAUAACCCCCUCUAUGCAUAGUGGGCUGAAUGUACUGUAAGAAUAAGGAUCGGCUAACUUCGUGCCAGCAGCCGCGGUAAUACGAAGGAUUCGAGCGUUAUCCGGAUUUAUUGGGUUUAAAGGGUGCGUAGGCGGGUUUGUAAGUCAGUGGUGAAAGCCCUCAGCUUAACUGAGGAAUUGCCGUUGAUACUGCAAGCCUUGAGUACACUUGAGGUGGGCGGAAUGUAUCAUGUAGCGGUGAAAUGCUUAGAUAUGAUACAGAACACCAAUUGCGAAGGCAGCUCACUAAAUUGUAACUGACGCUGAGGCACGAAAGCGUGGGUAUCAAACAGGAUUAGAUACCCUGGUAGUCCACGCCCUAAACGAUGAUUACUCGAUGUGUGCAAUACACCGUACGCGUCUGAGCGAAAGCAUUAAGUAAUCCACCUGGGGAGUACGGUCGCAAGACUGAAACUCAAAGGAAUUGACGGGGGCCCGCACAAGCGGAGGAGCAUGUGGUUUAAUUCGAUGAUACGCGAGGAACCUUACCCGGGCUUGAAAGUUAAGGAAUGAUGUAGAAAUAUGUCAGUCAGCAAUGACCUGAAACUAGGUGCUGCAUGGCUGUCGUCAGCUCGUGCCGUGAGGUGUUGGGUUAAGUCCCGCAACGAGCGCGACCCCUAUCAUUAGUUGCCAACAGGUUAUGCUGGGGACUCUAAUGAGACUGCCCGCGCAAGCGGUGAGGAAGGUGGGGAUGACGUCAAGUCAUCACGGCCCUUACGUCCGGGGCUACACACGUGCUACAAUGGCCGAUACAACAGGCAGCCACAUGGCAACAUGGAGCUAAUCCCAAAAGUCGGUCUCAGUUCGGAUUGGGGUCUGCAACUCGACCCCAUGAAGCUGGAUUCGCUAGUAAUCGCAGAUCGGCAAUGCUGCGGUGAAUACGUUCCCGGGCAUUGCACACAC
rnacentral:rRNA from 1 species